UACGUAGGGGCAAGCGUUGUCCGGAAUCAUUGGCGUAAAGCGCGCGUAGGCGGCCCGGUAAGUCCGUUGUGAAAGUCAAGGCUCAACCUUUGAAUGCCGAUGGAUACUGCCGGGCUAGAGUCCGGAAGAGGCGAGUGGAAUUCCUGGUGUAGCGGUGGAAUGCGCAGAUAUCAGGAGGAACACCCGUGGCGAAAGCGGCUCUCUGGAACGGUACUGACGCUGAGACGC
rnacentral:rRNA from 1 species